rnacentral:lncRNA from 12 species
AUUUGUCUCAGUGGCUUUCCCGGGGCUUCCAAGAAAGGGUCUGCGUGAUUGAAGACUGGAGCUCUGUUUGCUUAGGGGCAAAAAAGUAUUUUAAAACAGUGGCGAUCAAAGUUUGGGGGAACCAGGUCCGGAAGGUGUCUCGCGAGUCUGAAAUAAGCAUGUUCACAUCACGGCAUGAACACAUAAAAGUCUGGUUUUCCUAAGAACAGAAGUGCAGGGACCCUGAGCCUGGUUCAGUCCAAGUAAAUGAGGAUGUACUUACCCGUCAUUUAAAAGAUACAUAUUUUGAUUUGUGCAAACAGCUUUCAUCUUCUGCUUUUUUUUUUUUUUUCUAAACAUCACGGAACACUUUUCUACAAAUUUAGCUUGAGUUCAUUCAGGUUAGCUUUCAUCGAAAUUUCCUGGAGUUCAGGGGCCCAGAGAAGCCCCCGCCAGGGCUCCUCCGAGGUGCCUCCAGAGCAGUAAUCAGGGGUCGGCGUAAUUAGAGAGCGGGGGACGCCCAGAGAAACUUCCAGACAAGGCACCUUCGUCCCUCCUCGCCGCAAACGAACACGUUUUUCUUUCCCUGAGCGGCAGCCGCCGGGGGGUUGCUUCCCUGUGUGUGAGUUCACGCAGAUGUACGGACACAGACGUGAUGCCACGUAUGGGGCGAUCAGGGUUUCUAAGAAAUUCUCUGAGCUCUGUCAUCAAGCAAAAUGCAAGAAGCAGUGAGGCGAGCCUGCUCCCCCGGGGGCAGCACCCGUGGGCCCCUCGGGCCUCGUCAAGCCCACAGGGUCCCCAGGGCGCAGGCGUUCAACAAGAGAGAUGCUUCGGGUCCCCCGUCUCCUCCUUUCUUCUGCGGCCCCCCCUUUUGUGAUUUAAGGACGCUCUGCUGGCUCAACAGCCCAGCAAGUCCUAGAGGUUCAAAGAAGACAUAAGAGCAUCAGCUCCAAUCAGAGGCACAUCCUAAAACUGCCAAAUUUCAAAGUAACCAGAAACCAAAGGGCGAUUUGCUGCCGCCUUGGUUGGAAAUUCAGGGUCUGCAUGUUCAGAAGGCACAGCUGCAGAGUCACGGCCCCGCGGGAGCUGGAAACUGCUGGCUGGUCCCGCGGAGGCCUCCCACGGGUGCAGAGCCCACUCGUCUGAGUAAGACCCCUCG